GCAGCCGCCGGCGACGCGCUCGGGGCGGCUCCGCUCGGCCGGUCUUUCUCCUCUACAAAGAAGCUUUGUUGCCAAGAUUUACUCUGAAAAUGACCUACACUACUGACUGCAGAUGUCUGCAAAUGUAGAAGCUGAUAAGUUGUAUCUCCUUCCCUCCCCUGACUUCCCUGUUUCCUGUGGAAUUUAUACUUCUAAGUAUUUUUAAAAUUAGACCUCUGUUGAAGACAUUUGGAUUACAACUGUGAGCAUAUCUAUGCAAAGAGACGAGCUAGCCUGAGCAAUUUUGAGUUUUGUUCAGUGGAGGGACUGCUGUAUGUCAGCCAUGCUAAAGGGCAAGUGAUGGAGGCAAG